UAAAAUAAUUGGAAGAAUGUAAGCUCUCAACUAGUCCACUAGUCCUGAAACAAUAGAUACCAGCUGGUAGAGAUAAUAGCUGUCUGGAAGAGAGAGAUACAUACCACAUCAAAAAACAACAAAAAAAGGAUGGCUCAAGUACUCAAAAGGCAGCACUAAAAUAAGGCUAUGUCUCUUCCUGAGAAUACUCUGGACUUCAUUCUCUGAUUAAAGAUCACAACUGCUUCUUCGUUGAGGAAAUCAUGUAUUUCAAAGCCACCAAUGAACAAGAUUUUAACCUGAAUGGAAAAGACAAUAUGAGGGUGAUGAAAGACUCUAGAUGGUCCGUCUUGGGUAAGAAGAGAAAAAAAACAUUCAUUCCACUUAUAUCCAAGGUGUUUCACAGAUGAUAUGAAAUACUUUUGAAUGGCUCAGCUCUUUAACUAAUUCCUUUGAUAAAUCCAGGAGUCAGAAUUUAGAAAUAUACAAUAGACUUUUUCCUAAUCAGCAAUGGCACAGGUGGAAAUGUGUCCUCUGUGAGUGUAUUCAAUAGCCACUCAAUGGCCUUUGACCAACAUACUACCUUUUAAAAUGCAAGAUCCUGCAGUCAAAAUUUCUGCUCACAUUCUCAGAGCUGUAUCUCUUCAUCACUUAUUGGACUUAAACUCUAUUGUCUUCGGCUGAUUUUUCAUUAGGGUGAAGGGUCAUUGACCAAUCAUUAUGCAUAAAUAACUGGGAAAUUUAGUGGUGAGCCUUCAAUAGUGGAAGUAGCAUAAAAUAACAGCAAUCAUACCAAGCUCUAUUGAGAGAGUCCUCAAUGGAAGUAAUAUGAAUGGGGAUAGGGAACUAGGGGUGAGAGGGCAAUUCCUCUGGGAGUUUCAUCCCAGAGGAGACUUCACUUGAACUGAACUCCAAAGGAUGAACAGAGUUUUGCACUACAAAAAUUGCAUAGAUAUAACAAGCUAACAGAACAAUCCGAGCAGGUAAGAGCCUGGGCCAUGGCUUUGUAUCAUUAUGCAUAGUUUGGAAGAAUAUUAAUAUUGAUUCUCUGUACCAUUUUUGAGUAUAUUCAUCAGAUCCAUUGCUUGGUGUUAAUUGCAUUUUGUCAAACAAGAGCCUUCCACGCAAUUUAGGAGACAUUUAAAUACUAGUUGAUAUAUUUUACAAAACUGUAUUCUAUACUCAAUCCAGAGUUAAAAUUGAGGCCCAUUUCUUUUCCAUGAUGUAAUACUAUGUUACUUUAGUGGCAAAUUCUCAUAUUCCUUGAAAAGCUCAUCAUCUUGAGGUGACAUUUCAAAACUGCCUUCAUAAAAUUAGGAAGAUCCCAGAAAGCUUGAAACAGAGAACAGUUAUUCCCAUGAUAUAUGAUCUUCCUGGGCCUCUACCUCAUAAACUUCUAACUUCCUUUCAAAUAGUAUAGAAAGGCCGAUUUUUCCUCCUUUGUACACAACAUUCAUUUUUUCCCCUCUCUCUGGGCUAUUAUUUAUUAUUUAACUUGGUUACUGUAUUAUUUAAAGAAAAAAGCAGUUUGCAAUAUUGCCUGUAUGGGAGAUUCUAUAGAGGGUAAAGUAAUAUUGAUUGCAUUGUAGCUAUUAACUACUGUUCCGGAAACAAGGAAGGAGUAUAAGACACUGAAUCAGGGCAAGAAGUACAUUCACCCUCCUACAAGCUAAAAAAGAAAAAAAAGGUAGCAAACCACCUUCCAAAUUAUUCACAAACUUUAGAAUUUCUUCUUCAAGGUCCAAAGAGCCAGCUUGAAAUGUUAAGAUAAUUGGUGAACUUACAGGAAUAGAAAUGGCCCUUAAGGAACAAAAAAAUUUUUCUUACUUUUAGAGACUGUAAAAAGAAUGACCAAACUUCCGUAAUUUUGUUCUAGUCCACAUUUUCAACAUUAACUACUAAAUCC
ensembl:lincRNA